GAUUAUGGCUCAGAUUGAACGCUGGCGGCAGGCCUAACACAUGCAAGUCGAGCGGAUGACGGGAGCUUGCUCCUUGAUUCAGCGGCGGACGGGUGAGUAAUGCCUAGGAAUCUGCCUGGUAGUGGGGGACAACGUUUCGAAAGGAACGCUAAUACCGCAUACGUCCUACGGGAGAAAGCAGGGGACCUUCGGGCCUUGCGCUAUCAGAUGAGCCUAGGUCGGAUUAGCUAGUUGGUGGGGUAAUGGCUCACCAAGGCGACGAUCCGUAACUGGUCUGAGAGGAUGAUCAGUCACACUGGAACUGAGACACGGUCCAGACUCCUACGGGAGGCAGCAGUGGGGAAUAUUGGACAAUGGGCGAAAGCCUGAUCCAGCCAUGCCGCGUGUGUGAAGAAGGUCUUCGGAUUGUAAAGCACUUUAAGUUGGGAGGAAGGGCAGUAAGYUAAUACCUUGCUGUUUUGACGUUACCGACAGAAUAAGCACCGGCUAACUCUGUGCCAGCAGCCGCGGUAAUACAGAGGGUGCAAGCGUUAAUCGGAAUUACUGGGCGUAAAGCGCGCGUAGGUGGUUUGUUAAGUUGGAUGUGAAAGCCCCGGGCUCAACCUGGGAACUGCAUCCAAAACUGGCAAGCUAGAGUACGGUAGAGGGUGGUGGAAUUUCCUGUGUAGCGGUGAAAUGCGUAGAUAUAGGAAGGAACACCAGUGGCGAAGGCGACCACCUGGACUGAUACUGACACU
rnacentral:rRNA from 1 species